rnacentral:lncRNA from 1 species
GUUGUCUUCCCUCUUCUCAUAGGGGCAUUCUGCCACGAAGUGACUCACGUUGCCACAGUUAUAACAUGUCCUUACUCGUUGUUUGGGUUUGAAUCAACUCGAGUUGUUCUUGUUGAAGGUGGGUCUUGAGUUCCUUUUAUUUCCCCAGAAUUGCCUUGAUGCAAGAGCCAUGUGCUCAUGAUAGGCAUACUUUGUGUCUUCCGGGCAGCUCUCCUCUUCCUCAUCUUCUUCUUCUUCUUCAAGCAUUGCUCUUGCUUUCAACGCAAGGUUGGGUGAAGUGGUUUUUGAUCGGACACGAGAAAGUGCAUUGUCGGCUGUUUCGUUCAUGAUUGACAUUGCAAUGAACUCAUCCAACACUUCACUGGAAGACAAGGAGUGGAAG